AGGAAGGGCACUUGGAGAAGGGAUUCCGGGCACAUCAGAGCACCCAAUUUCAGAGCGUAGAAUCCUGUGUCAUAGGAAGCAGUCAUCCGACAGCUGCCCUUUCUGCCAUCGGAUGAUCUCCCAGCUCUGCUUUCCCGGAGCUCAUCACGUGGCCCCAGUUUAACUCCCAGGGAGGCGCGACGAUGUCUUCCCACACCCCAGGAAGAGAGGAGAAGCUGUCAUGGUGACCACUGCAGUGUGUGCCAAUCAAGUGUUCUAAGAUUCCAGAAGCAUGUUCUCUAAACAUCAGAACUUCCAGACUCCUAUCUCUGGCAAGAACGUGCUUUGGAUAGUUCUCAUACACAACGGCUUAAUAUAGAAAAUAAAGGCAUGAAAAAUGUUGUU